GGGAAACAAAGCGAUGGAAAUAUCUUCCUCGUCAUCCCUCUAUCUCUUCCCACCCCUCUCCUCUUGGGCUCUUCCCCAUGCCGCCGCCACCACUUCCCCCAUCCUCUUGGACGCCUCGUCUCUUCCACCUCCGCCUCCAUCACCUCCUCCUCCCCUGCCUCCGCACCCGACCACGCGCUGUGGACGAGGAGGCAACAGCUCGGGAGGCAGGCAAGAGGAAAAUGGGAGUGAUCCCCUCCCGAGCCCCGCGCCUCUCCUCUUUCCCACUGCGCCGCCAGCCCCUUUCCCUCCCAUCUCGAGCUGCUGCAGCUCCUCCCUCAACCCGCGGCGAGCCUUCUUCUCCGACCGUUGUUGCCCGCACUGCUACCGCCACGGCCUGCUACUGCUCCUCCUCCUCCAGCUCCUCGCCCCAGCGACGCUUCCUCCCCUCCUCUCAUGCAAGGCGUCUUGGGGUGUGGAGGCGGCGGGGCAGCAGCCAGUCGUUGCCCUGCAGGGGCAGCAACAGGUCGGCUAUCCUGUUGUGGCGGCGACACGUCUAGAGGAACCGGUCGCCCUUCUCCUGGAUGAGCGCCGGAGCCGAAAAGCCGGAACUGACCAUUGAGGAGCCGGGGCAGCCAUGCCACAUAGGAAGGUCGAGGUGGACCAGGAGAAGCUGCACGAGGCUCCAUCGGCUCCUGCUCAAAUUUGGUUUCUCUAUGCCUACAUGGUGUUUGAUGAAAAUCCAAGAAGGACGGGGAGGAUUGAUCUAUGCGGAUAAGAGAAGAAAACUGAAACAUGUUCACUAGAGUGGCCUGGGGUGGCCUGCGAGCUACGAGGAUGGGGCUGCGAGACUGGAUUGGCAGCCGACAGCGAGAGAGGAAGGGUGGUUGUUCCUGUGAUGAGGUGGUGAUGAUUGCCAUAGUGGAAUUUUGUAGGUACGACGGCAGCGAGCUUUGAGGGCCCCCGGUUUGGUGGCAGCAUGAGCCUCGUGGAGUUGUCUCGGACAACAUCACAUCUAUUUGUUUUUGUUUCCCCACUUAGACUACUGCUUUGAUUCUGAAGUGUGGAGAUGGAUGUGACUUACCAUGGAGGAAGUGGGUACAAUAUCCAUUUGAAAGAUGCAGCAGGCUCAAAAUAAGUUUCCGGUGCAAGUGUAGCUGCAAGCCAGAUUGGUUCUUACAGCAAUGGAGUGAUUUGUACCCUGCAAAGUUCCUCUCUUGGUUCACUGACACGAUCAACCUAUGUGCACGUAGAUGAUGUUUUGUUUCCCUUCCUAGAAUCUCUGUUAUAUAUUGGUGUUGAUGUUUUCUUCACUUGGAGAUGCAAAAACAGCCCGAGACAGUUCAGGCUGAGGAUUCUCCCUCGCUCGAGGAUUCCAGUAACUAUGAGUUCUAGGCGAAGAUGUACGUUUCCUACAGACAUUUUCAGUUUGACGAGAGCUUUGCCAUUCAGCUUGAAAAAGUAUGUUCCGUCUAGGACAGAGAACCAUGAUUAUCACCACUGUUGGAGGAAAAAGCUAGAGCAAUUAUGUUUCUACUUUCAUGCAUUAUGGUUGUCUAUUCUCGGAAGGAUAGAGUUUACAUAUUUCGUAUGCCUAAAUAGUGAAGGUUAAAUGGAGUUAGUAAGACCAUAUUUGAUGCUGAUCAUAAGAUACUAACGGGCUCCAUGUAAUCCCAAGUGCAUUGAACAACAAUUGUCAUUUUGCAAGAUCUUCUAGAGGGCUAUAUGUCCUAUGCUCCUCUUGACGACAUAUAUGAGGACUCGCAACCCUGAGCCUGGAAGACAACCGUUAAGGCGGUGGUCAUGGGGCAACGAUAGUCGAUAGCUACUAUCAGAACAUAAACGUAUGGCCCUCCUUGUUGCCAUGAAGGAUUAUCGUCUAUUGGAUUUGCAGAACCAGUUAAUGACAAGAUGAUGGUAGUAGCAAUGGAGGGUCGUGGUUUCUGAAUGCUGAGACUUCCAGUUUUUAGUAUGGUAAACUCCAAAUUUGGAAAUGAUAUUGUCCAAUGUAUUCACGCAAUUAGAUAUCAUUUUAGAUUAUCUUCCCUUGGAACUUCUGCCAUGUAAAGCAUGGUUGCCUUUGAUUUACCGUUGUGCUAUGAACAUAAUGUAUUGGCGUCCUCUUCUCACGAAUCAUGCUGACACUUAGCUUCUGUUUUCCGAUGUAGGGUUAUUUAGUAUGAACAAAUAUGGCAACAGUCAUUAGUCGUACUGUUUCUUGAGGUGAUGCCACUGCUACAGGUUCGUAUAAGCUGAAUACUGGCGCAAGUUACUUUGAUGGUGGAACAGGUUCAGUUGCUGCAGUGCUUAGAAACUCUCGAGGGGAAGCUAUUGCAGGAGCUUCCGAGCUAAUUGACCAUGUUCUUAAUGCCCAAACUUCUGAAACUUUGGCGCUGUUGCGAGGUUUGAAGCUUCUUUCAGAGAUUGGGUGCACCAAGGUGACAGUCGAAUCAAAUUGUCUAGAACUGAUUGAAGCACGUAGUGGAAAAUUGAGAUUUUGGGUCCCAAUGUAGCAAUACUUGCGGACUGUUUUCAUAUUGCUCAUGAAAUUCCUGGAAUUUGUUUCAAGCAUUGUCCAAGUGAAGCUAAUGGAUUGGCACAUUUUCUGGCUAGCAAAUUCCAUUUGGUUUCACAGAGGAUAGGCCCAUUGGAUCUGUUGAUGCUACUGUGUUUCGACUUGAGAUCAGAUACUUCCCGUUUCAGCGUAAAGGUCGACAAGUGCCACCGCCACUCCCUAUGUUGUUUCUAUUCUAAUGUGAUCUACUUGAGACCAGGAGACAAACGUCUUUCACUCCUAUGGGGUCCAACUCCUAAUGAUUGAUGAUGUACAAUGUGUCUAAUUCCAGUUCAAACGUCUUUCACUUGAUUGGCUUGA